rnacentral:tRNA from 2 species
GCCGAAGUGGCGGAAUUGGCAGACGCGUCGGUCUCAAAAACCGAUGGUUUUACGACCGUGCCGGUUCGACCCCGGCCUUCGGCACCA